GCGCCCGUAGCUCAAUUGGAUAGAGUACUUGGCUACGAACCAAGAGGUUGGGGGUUCGAUUCCCUCCGGGCGUA
rnacentral:tRNA from 1 species